rnacentral:rRNA from 1 species
AACUGGGCGUUAAGUUGCAGGGUAUAGACCCGAAACCCGGUGAUCUAGCCAUGGGCAGGUUGAAGGUUGGGUAACACUAACUGGAGGACCGAACCGACUAAUGUUGAAAAAUUAGCGGAUGACUUGUGGCUGGGGGUGAAAGGCCAAUCAAACCGGGAGAUAGCUGGUUCUCCCCGAAAGCUAUUUAGGUAGCGCCUCGUGAACUCAUCUUCGGGGGUAGAGCACUGUUUCGGCUAGGGGGUCAUCCCGACUUACCAACCCGAUGCAAACUACGAAUACCGAAGAAUGUUAUCACGGGAGACACACGGCGGGUGCUAACGUCCGUCGUGAAGAGGGAAACAACCCAGACCGCCAGCUAAGGUCCCAAAGUCAUGGUUAAGUGGGAAACGAUGUGGGAAGGCACAGACAGCCAGGAUGUUGG